CCAAAACUAAGCGGUGACCGAGUGAAACUAAAAAGAAGUCAUUUGCUAAAUACCUGGGCGGUGGCUGAAGGAAAAUCAAGAGAAAUCAGCCACCAAAACUACUAAGUCUAAGCGGUGGAAAUGAGGAAACAAAUAGGAGUCGGCUUGCUAGUUUGGGCGGUGGAACAUUUGCUGAGUUAGGUAGUGACCGAAAGAGAGAAGCUAAAUGAAAUCAUUUGUUGCUAACAUUUGGGCGGUGGCUGAGAGGAAACAAGACAAUUAUUUGCCAUGUUUAGGCGGUGACCAAAGAGAGAAAUCAGAGAGAUAGCGGCUACCAAUAAUCUGCUAAGUCCAAGCGGUGAUUGAGUGGAGCAAAUAGAAUCUGAUACAUUAGUAGGGCGGUGGCCGAGAGCAAAGGAAACUAGGUAGCUCUUCCUUUCUUUCUUUCAUUCAAUCUCUACAAGACAAUCGAGAGAGAGGAAAAAUAUUUCUGUUUCCUCUUUGUUUCAGCUUGCAAGCUCAUACCUAACAAACCUUAUUAAACCAAAUCAAAACAGAGAGGGGAACUUGGCUUGAUUCAUUUUGAUAGCAGAAACCGUGAGCCAAAGUGAGAGAGUGAGAGAGAAAGCUUGGGUAGCUUCUUCAUCAGCUAACAAAAAUUAAACAAACGAAGGCAAGGAGAAUCGAGUUCCCGAGGAAUUGAAACAGCAAUUUGAGCAACCUGCAACAUCGAACCUUAGGAGGAAGAGGUAAGAAUCUGCCAUAAUUUCCUGCUUAUUCAGUAUAAAUGGAAUAAUAAACGAGCUGCAUGUGAAUUUUACAAAGAAAAUGAGCUCUUAGCAAGGGUGAAAUUCUUAGGGGUGGGCACGGGUCGGGUACCCGCCCCUAACAUGAUUUGACUGACCCGACCCUAAUAUAUCGGAUCAGCCAUUUGGCAACCCUAACUCGCUCCUAAUAUUUUCGGGUACCCGAAUAGCGGGUACCCGAAAAAAAGGGGCGGGUCAUAGGGUACCCGCCUCUAAAAAAAACUAUUUUUCAAUAAAAAAAUUUAUUUUCUACUUAAUAUCAACAUGUUUUUCAAUAAAAAAAAACAUGCUUUUCCAAUUAAUAUUGGUAGAGAUAUUGUAAUUAAAGUCCAUACAUCACCAUUCUCACACAUUUCAUCCAAUAAUCAAAUCGAUUUCAUAAAUUUAGUACAUAUUAGAAUAUCUAAUAGACAAAACGAAGUUUCAUAAUAAUUUUGAGUAUAUCACCAUUUUCACACAUUUCAUACUUCUACAACACAACAAACACAAGGAUAAUAAGUAUUUGGUAACUUCCCCAAGGAUAUUAUGGUACAAGACCGCAUCUCAAAUAAGUCAAUUGUGAAAUCAAGUUCGGAAAAGAAUUGAAUAGAACUAAUUAUUUUUGAAAAAAAUAUGACCAAAAUAAUGUUAAAAAUCUUCCCCAACUUCUUUACAUCUUUGGAAUAGACCUUAUGGUAUUAAGGUGAUGAAAAAGAAAAAUAAAUUUCUUACACUAAAUAAAAGAGACAAAUUGAAGAGAUAUAAUUGCAAAUGAAUGACACAAAUAUUUUAAUUAUCUAGCUAACAGAAAAUUGAAACUCCAAACAAAAAUCUUUGAUUGAAUUGAUGCAAAAUUUGUAGGAAAGAUCGAUGGAGGUAGAAUAAAAAUAAAAAAGAUGAAAGGGAUGAACAAUUUUUAUAACAGAGUUUCACAAAUUUUUUUUUUCAUUUUGUUCAUGUUUCACCGAGAAUAUUCGCUUUUUUCAAAAAAAAUGAGAAGAGUAGAUCAUAUAGGAUUAGAAUAUGAGGCUGCGAGCCACUUCACUUGCACUUAGAAUUAAAAAUUACAAAAUUAUAAAAUGAUCCCUACUUUUUUAAUAUUUAUAAAAUAUACCCUACGGGUCGGGUACCCGCGGGUUUUUAUUUUUCUGAUCCGUAUCCGUACCCGAUUUUUCGGGUACCCGACCCUCAUCUGCCCCGCUAAGAAAAAUCGGAUCGGGUAUCCUAUUUUUCGGAUCGGGUUCAUCGGAUUUUCGGAUCGGCGGGUUUUUUUGCCCACCCCUACUUAGCAAGGGUGAAAUUCUGUUUUGAAGUAAAUGAAGCUAUUGUUGAAUCCUUAAUCCAACAUUGGACUUAUAUGUGAAUAAUUAUGUAUUGCAAACUGUCAAUUAAUGUUAAACCCAAUUAAAGUGAUCAAAUAUAGUUUGGGUUUAAUGUAUCUAAUAGGAUGUGGGCCCUUUUAUGUGUAGAAACUUAUGGGCUCCUAUUUCAAUGAUGGGCUGAAAUAGGGCUCCAAAGGUAACAGGAAUGUUACCUAUAAAUAGGGUUAUGGUCCCCAGGUCACAGGCAUCGUUUUAGUUGUUGUAUUUCUUAAUACCACAAAAUAGCCCUUCCCUGAUAUCCCAUCGUCAGGAAAGAUACCAGAGAGAAACUAAAGGUCUCUCUCAAAGGAUCGGUGAAUACCUGUUGACCUGGAAGGCCACUCCAAAUCUCUAGGGAUUCAAGUAUCAAGUUUAUCAAUAUGGAUUCAGGUACGCUUCCGCUAUUUUACAGUUAAUGUAUUUCUUAAUAAUCACCAUAUAGAUCUUGGAUUUAAUAGGUGAUGGUUUUCACCAGUGGUUAGAUUUAAAUAACCACCCUAACAAGUGGUAUCUGGUUGAUUAUUAGGAAAUAAUUUGGAUUUAGUAAUUCAUAGUUUUUUUGUAUUUAAAAAAAAAAACUAUGAUUGAUUUAGUUUUUCGGUUGCAUGGCUGAAAGAUUUUGUCUCGUGGUUGAAGUUAUGUGCAUGAUUCGGCUUUGUGUUUUGGCCUUUUAUGAGUCGUUGUUUUCAUGAUCUAGUCAUGUUCCGUUGCCGUUCAUGUUCAGCCUUCAUGUCGUGGAAAGUCAGCUUGCAUGAAUAGAGAUUUUAAUGAAAUUCAUGUUGUUAUAUUGCAUUCAGUGGCUCCACGGAUUGUUAGACACCAAUCAAUUGCUUUGCUAUGAUUACUGUGUUAAAAUCAAUUACUGUGCUAAAAGCCGAAAGCCAAAAUGGCUUUUGCUGUGACUUUUCAUUAUGCUUUCGGUCAACACUUGAAGUUAGUGGGCUCCACGAAUUCUUACAUGUGAAUUCAUGAAUUCGGUCGACAUGAAUCAAGUUUUGUUUGCUGUGAUGAUUUGGUUUGGCCAAUUUAAUAUUUAUUAUGUUGAUUCAAUUUGUCAAUAAUUAGACUCUUUGGCCUGUUUCAUUGUUUAUAAAUAUGUAUGCAUUUAUAUUCAGAAAACUAGGGUUCUUUUAAUUUAAAUGAACCCUAAUAUAGUUAAUAAGAUAUUUAAGACCUACAAAGUCCAUAUGUUUGGCCCACUAUACAUAUAGUUUUAUAAAGUAUUUAUGGACUUAAAAAAAAAAUGGGGCUUGAAUAAUAAAUUGGGUCAAUUAUGGAUAUGGACCUUUGGUCCAAUAAGUUUUGAUCCAAUUGAUCGGUUUGAUCAGAGUUAACUAAAGUUGACUUUGAUCAAAAUUUUGUUUAAUUUGUAUAAUUUUAAAUUUGAACAUUGGUAUAAUUAUAUAUAUUUUAGAAUAAAUUAAUUGAAAUAAUAUGCCACCAAAGUGACCUCUAUUAUGAAAAUUAAUUUAUUUUAGAAUAUAACUAGUUGAGUACUUGUAAUUUUAUGAAUAUUGAUCGGCCCAAAGGAAGGUCCAUAUUUAAUAAAAUUACAUGUGCACUUGUGGUAAUAAAUACGUGAUAAUUAUUUGGAUUUUGCAUGUGAUUUAUAAAUUGGCCCAAAGGAAAAUUUAUUUUUGGACAUGUUAUUAUUAUCAGUAUUUAUUACUGCACCAAGAUAUCACUUAGAAAUUAAUAUUUUUGUCCAAAGGCAAAAUAUUAAUGGAAUAUCGAUAUCUUGAGAUGGGGUUACCUUUAUUUAAAUUUAUUAUUGUUUUGGUUUAUGUGAGCUUGUUUUAAUUAUAUUAUAUUUUCUGUUCAAUUGCAAAUGAUCUUACAAAUAUUACUGCUAACAUCAAUAACAUUCCUAUGCUGAAUGGCACAAAUUUCAAGUCCUGGAAAGAAAACCUCUUGAUAGUACUUGAAGUAAUGGAUCUCGACCUUGCGUUAAGGGAUGAUUCUCCCCCACCUCUUACAGAUCAGAGAACCUCUGAUGAAAAGAGAAAUAAUGAGAGGUAGGAGAGAUCAAAUCGCUUGUGUCUGAUGAUCAUUAAAAAGGCCGUUCCAGAAGCAUUCAGGGGAACAAUGUCAGAAACGACUGUAACGGCUAAAGAGUUCCUUCAGGACAUUGAAAAAAGGUUUGUCAAGAACGAAAAGGCUGAAGUUAGUACGCUCUUAACACGCCUAGUUUCAAUGAAAUAUAGUAGUAAAGGCAAUAUCAGAGAGUACAUCAUGGAGAUGUCUCAUCUUGCUUCGAAAUUGAAUGCACUUAAGUUGAAACUCUCUGAAGAGUUAUUAAUGCAUUUGAUUUUAAUAUCUCUUCCUACACAAUUUAGCCAGUUUAAGGUGAGUUACAAUUGUCAAAAGGAGACUUGGUCUCUAAAUGAACUCAUCUCACACUGUGUAGAGGAAGAGGAAAGGUUGAAGCAAGAGCAGACAGAAAGUACCCAUCUGGUGUCAACCACUAAUAAUAAAAAUAAGGGAUUUAAAAGAAAGAAGGAAAAAGGAGCUGCAGGUACAGCGCCACAAAAGAAACAACAAAAGAAAUCAAAUGAUCAGGGAAAGAAUAGUUGUUUCUUCUGUGGGACUGAAGGGCAUCAAAAGAAGCAUUGCACCAACUAUCACGCUUGGCGUGCUAAGAAAGGUAUGCUUCUUAAUUUGGUUUGUUCUGAGAUUAAUUUAACUUCGGUACCUAGACACACAUGGUGGUUAGAUUCUGGUGCAACAACUCACAUCAGUGUGUCUAUGCAGGGUUGCCUGAAUUGCCGAAAGUCUAAUGAUAAUGAAAGAUAUAUCUACGUGGGCGAUGGCAAAACAGUUCAAGUUGAGGCAAUUGGAGUUUUUAGAUUAUUGUUAAAGACCGGAUUUUAUUUGGAUCUCAAUGAGACAUUUGUUGUACCGUCUUUUAGACGGAAUUUAAUUUCUAUUUCUGUUUUGGACAAAUUUGGUUAUUUUUGUUCAUUUGGAAAUGAAAAUUUUGAAUUGUUUCAUGAUUCAAAAUUGGUUGGUUCUGGUUCUUUAAUGCAUUACGAUAAUCUAUAUUUAAUUGAUACGAUUGCCUCAUUUAAUGAAUCUCUGCAUUUGAGUACUAGAGGAGUUAAAAGAAAAUUAGCCAAUGAGAAUUCAGCUGCAUUAUGGCACAAGAGAUUGGGACAUAUCUCCAAACGGAGAAUGGAAAGGUUUGUGUCAAAUGAAAUUCUCGACCCCUUGAGUUUUACAGAUUUUAAUGAUUGUAUUAACUGUAUAAAGGGGAAACAAACCAAUGAAAGGAGAUUUGAAGCCAAUAGAUCCUUAGACGUCUUAGAACUUAUACAUACAGAUAUUUGUGGACCAUUUCCUACAUCUGCUUGAAAUGGUCAACAAUAUUUUAUAACGUUCAUAGACGAUUUUUCAAGAUAUGGCUACAUAUAUCUCAUUUCUGAAAAAUCACAGUCACUGAACGUGUUCAAAAGUUUUAAGGCUGAAGUUGAGAAUCAACUCAACAAAAGAAUUAAAAGCGUCAGAUCUGAUCGUGGUGGUGAGUACUAUGGCAGAUAUGACGGUUCAGGUGAACAACGUCCAGGACCAUUUGCUAAAUACCUAAAGGAAUGCGGUAUCGUCCCACAGUACACUAUGCCGGGUUCACCCAUUAUGAAUGGUGUAGCUGAAAGACGAAAUAGAACACUUAAAGACAUGGUAAGGAGUAUGAUAUGUCAUUCUACUUUACCAGAGUCACUCUGGGGUGAAGCACUUAAGACUGUAGCAUAUAUCCUUAAUAGGGUUCCAACUAAAUCAACUAUCAAAACCCCUUAUGAGCUUUGGACAGGGAAAAAGCCUAGUUUCAAGCAUCUGCAUGUUUGCGGGUGUCCAGUUGAGGCAAGGCCUUACAGGCCAAAUGAAAAGAAACUGGACUCAAGAACGAUUAGUUGUUAUUUUAUUGGAUACUCUGAAAGAUUCAGAGGUUACAAGUUUUAUGAUCCCACAACUAAGUCAAUUUUUGAGACAGGAAAUGCCCGGUUCUUUGAGGAUGUCGAGUUUGAGAGAGAAAAUACAGUAAGGGACAUUGUCUUUAAAGAGAAAUAUAUUAAUAUUCCCACAGGUGUCAUUGCUCUUGCUCAGGACCCUAUUUCUGAACUUGAUCAUGACUUGACAAAUCAAGACAAUGUCAAAGAGCAAACUAUUAUAGAAGAACAAACUCUUCCUCUUCAAGAACCAGUGCCAUUAAGAAAAUCCACUAGAGAAAGGAGAAGUGCAGUGCCAGAUGAUUACAUUGUUUUUCUCCAAGAACAUGAGGAUGACUCUAGAUUGAUGGAAGAUGAUCCAAUCAACUUCCGUCAAGCCAUGGAAAGGUCAAAUUCUCAAAAGCGGGUCGAUGUCAUGAAUGAGGAGAUUAAAUCCAUGAAAGACAAUGACGUUUGGGAUCUUGUCCCAUUGCCAGAAGGAGCGAAACCCAUUGGUUGUAAAUGGGUAUUUAAAAUCAAGAGGGAUUUGAAAGGUAAUGUGGAAAGAUACAAAACUCGUCUUGUCGCUAAGGGAUUUACACAAAAAGAAGGUAUCGAUUAUAAAGAAACAUUCUCUCCAGUCUCUUCAAAUGACUCUUUUAGAAUUAUCAUGGCAUUAGUGGCACAUUUUGAUCUUGAGUUACAUCAGAUGGAUGUAAAGACAGCGUUUCUCAAUGGUAACAUUGAUGAGACGAUUUAUAUGGUGCAACCAGAAAACUUUGUAUCAGGAGAUCCAAAGAAUAUGGUUUGCAAACUUAAGAAAUCCAUCUAUGGACUCAAACAAGCGUCUCGACAAUGGUAUUUCAAAUUUCAUCAAGUGAUCAUCUCAUUUGGUUUUGAAAUGAAUUUAGUAGAUGAUUGCAUAUACCAUAAGUUCUGUGGGAGCAAAUAUAUUUUUCUGGUAUUGUAUGUUGAUGAUAUUUUGCUUGCCAGCAACGAUAUUGGUCUAUUGCAUGAAACCAAGAAAUUUCUAACUAAGAAUUUUGAGAUGAAAGAUCUUGGUGAUGCAUCUUUUGUGUUAGACAUACAGAUACACCGUGAUCGCUCUCGGGGUAUUUUAGAACUAUCACAAAAGGGUUAUAUCGAAAAGGUUCUCCAAAGGUAUGGCAUGCAAAAUUGUAAACCAGGUGACACUCCUGUGGCUAAAAGAGACAAAUUUAGUCUUGAACAGUGUCCCAAUAAUGCUUUUGAGGAAAAAGAGAUGCAAAAGAUUCCUUAUGCAUCAGCAGUAGGGAGUCUAAUGUAUGCUCAAGUAUGUACGCGUCCGGAUAUUGCGUACAUUACUGGGAUGUUGGGUAGAUAUUUGUGUAAUCCUGGAUUAGAUCAUUGGAAAGCAACCAAACGGGUCUUACGAUAUCUACAGAAAAUAAAAGAUUACAUGCUCACGUAUCGAAAGUCAGAUGAGUUAGAGAUCAUUGGGUAUACUGAUUCCGAUUAUGCUGGAUGCAAAGAUACUAUGAAGUCAAUGUCAGACUAUGUCUACUUGUUGGCUGGAGGUGCCAUAUCCUGGAAGAGUGCUAAACAGUCCCUCAUAGCAUCUUCCACUAUGGUUGUAGAGUUUAUAGCUUGUUAUGAGGUAUCCAAUCAGGGAAUUUGGCUGCGAAAUUUCGUCACAGGAUUACGUGUAGUGGAUGGCAUUGAAAGACCACUCAAAUUAUUCUGUGACAAUAAGUUAGCAGCCUUAUAUUCCAAUAACAAUAGGAGCUCGACCAAAUCUAAACAUAUAGAUAUCAAGUUCCUGACUGUUAAAGAAAGAGUGCAAAAUGGACAGUUAUCAAUAGAGCACAUCGGGACAAACUCCAUGGUUGCGGAUCCGCUUACUAAGGGAUUGCCACCCAAAAUGUUUCAUGAGCAUACUGCUCAUAUGGGUGUCGUAUUAAAUGAUGUAUAGUUUUAGUGGGAGUUUGUUAUUUUAAAUGCUCUUAUGAUAUUUUUCAGUUAUUAAGGAUUUAAGAAUAUUUUAUGCAUAAAUAAAGUUUGAAUUUAUUUGCACUCUAAUUUUGGUAUGGUUUGAUCUCAUAAAAUUUAAGGUGGACCAGUUGGAAAUAGACAUGUUUUGAUCACAUUACAUGAAAUUUCCAUGCUACACAUCCACAUCAUAAUUCAUGUCAUUCAACUGCAUUGAUAUAUGUGACCAUUGAUGGGUCGAGUUACGAAAUUGUAACAAAGGCCGCUUUGAUCUUAUAUUGGUGUAAUUGAUGGACCGAAUUGGUUACAGAUACAUUGUGAUAAUGACAGUAAAGUUGAGCUCAUACGGUUAAUUGCAAAACAUAAUUAUAAGGUUACACAUAUAGUCCAAGUGGGAGAUUGUUGGAUCCUUAAUCCAACAUUGGACUUAUAUGUGAAUAAUUAUGUAUUGCAAACUGUCAAUUAAGGUUAAACCCAAUUAAAGUGAUCAAAUAUAGUUUGGGUUUAAUGUAUCUAAUAGGAUGUGGGCCCUUUUAUGUGUAGAAACUUAUGGGCUCCUAUUUCAAUGAUGGGCUGAAAUAGGGCUCCAAAGGUAACAGGAAUAUUACCUAUAAAUAGGGUUAUGGUCCCCAAGUCACAGGCAUCGUUUUAGUUGUUGUAUUGCCUAACACCACAAAAUAGUCCUUCCCUGAUAUCCCAUCGUCAGGAAAGAUACCAGAGAGAAACUAAAGGCCUCUCUCAAAGGAUCGGUGAAUACCUGUUGACCUGGAAGGCCACCCCAAAUCUCUAGGGAUUCAAGUAUCAAGUUUAUCAAUAUGGAUUCAGGUACGCUUCCGCUAUUUUACAGUUAAUGUAUUUCUUAAUAAUCACCAUAUAGAUCUUGGGUUUAAUAGGUGAUGGUUUUCACCAGUGGUUAGAUUUAAAUAACCACCCUAACAGCUAUCGGACCGAAAUGGAGAGAAUUGAGAGCUGUUGUUUGAAUCUCAGCCUAUUAACGAUGUAAAAGGGACAAAUAAUGUAAGAAAUGCCUGCAACUUGUAUAUCUUAAGUAAUAUAAGAGGAUUAGCUGAAGGAACUGGUGACAAGUUGGAAAUUUGGGUUGAGACCGUAGGAAGAAAACUUGCUGGAAUUUUUUUCCAGCCUCAUCCGAGAGAAAGGAAGUGAAGAAACUCUAGCUGUCUUCUGCAAAUUUUGGUUUUUCAAUUUCGUAUUAAGCUGUAAUGUAUUGUAAAGCAUCUUAACUUCAUCAAGCAUGAUAGAAACAAGUAUAAACUUAAGUGAACAUUGGAGGAGUUAUAAGUUUCAAACUAGUUGUUUGUAGAUAGGUUCGGCUGAGAGAAGGAAAAAGGAAUUUUCCAGGUUUCUUUAUGGAUUCUGGUUCCAAACUUCUACAUUGAGACUUAAUUCAUUGCAUAAUAUUUUAGUCUUAGCAUGCGUGUUAGAUUUGAGUAUGUAAUGGACAGAUUAAUGGAAAAAUUUCUUGUUUAAAAGCUGAUUGCUGCCAAAAUUUUUCCAUCAUGGCCGAGAGAGAGGAAUAAACUUCUGAUCAGCCUUUCUUUCGAAUUUUAACUGUAAACUUUCAUAUGUGCUGCUUAAGGCUACUCUGUAGCUUGAUAAUUAUAUUUUGCAUGAUGAAUUGGAGUUAAAACUGAAGAAAUUAUGGAGAAAGUGUCGUAUAUUAAACUGCUACAUUGCUGAAAGAUUUAGUUGACUGAUGCCAUAGCUGAUGACAGAUUUUGUGCGUGGCUUUUGGCCGAACAACUUGCUGAAACUAUUUGUUAUUUGCCUUGAUUUAUGCUGGACAGAAUGUAUACCAAGUGACUAGUGUUUUAAGCAAAUAAAUGGAGUUUUGUUGAAAAUUUUGAAAUGUUUGUGCUGGAAUUCUUGCCUUGCUGACCGAGCGUGUGAGGAAGUGAAACUCUUAUGACAUUUUUGAAAAAUUCAGGUUAAUUGGUUGUGAAUUUAUAUGGAGCAUCUUAUAACAUCUUGAAACUACUUUUAUGAGUAUUUUAAAGAACUUAAAACUGGAAAAUUAGUAAAAUUUAAACGAGAUUUAAACUAUAGGCAACUUAGAAUCUAGUUUAAUCUAAAAAGGAAAGAAUGAAAAGUCUAUUUGCCUUAAUCUUAGAAUAUUGGAUAGAAAAUGGUUUAAUCUUAGACUAAACGUCUUAUAUAUGUAUAUUUUUUUGUUUAAAAUGAUAAAGUUGAUAAAUUUCAAGAUAAAAUAUAAGAAAAGGUUGGAUAUAUUAUGUCUUGUAUUUUAAAGCCAAAACUUGACUUUAACAAGUUUAAAUCAUAAGGUAACACAUGAUAAGUGAUUAUCUACGAAUUGUAUCUUCAUUUUAGAGUUCUAAAUUCAUCUCUGUGGGUAGCUGUGAGCCAGAAAGCAAACCCGAGACAAUUUAUUUGGAAUUUGGUGAGUGUUUCCGGAUUUGUAUAUUUAACUAUUUAUGUUUACUUAAGUGAAAUUAUGUGAUAAAUGUGCUUAUUAUUCAUUGUAAAAUGUGUCUUAAUUGUCCUUCGUCUUCUAAGUCGGGAGUGUACUUAAUCGCACUCAGCUUAGUUGAGUUUGAAGGUUGAUAAUUGACCAAAUAUUACUGUAAGUGUGCAUAAAUAUAAGCCGUAUAUGUACUUUACCACAUCGGCUGAAUUGGGCCUCAAAACCCUCUGUUUAACUGACUAUUCGAGCCAACAAAGGGCUUGGUCGGAUAGGACGGAAGCUUUGGACAGUGUUUCGGUAUACUUGAGUAUUACCCUAAAGUUGGGAGAUUAUUGAACUGAUUAUUGAAUGUAGGGAAUUGUUUAUUAUUUUGGAGGACAUAAAGAGGUGAAUUGGCGGAGUGUGCAAUAAUAUUGGAAUGAAUAUACAAUGACAUUGAAAUGUGUGUGCAAUGAUAUUGAAAUGACUCCAAGGAGGAGUUUGUAUCCUUUUGAAAGUGACUAUACAGUAAAAUGUUCAUUACUUGCUUAAUUUUAUUGGUUUUAAGUGUUUAUUGAAUGUUAUUUAUUCGGCAAACCUCAUUGAGUUUUAACUCAACCUUUUAGCUUUGUUUUCCUUACAGGAGCUGGAGAUUGAAGAGUGAUUGGAUUGAAUUAAAAAGUUAUUUUGGGAAGAUCCGUUACCGUGUAUAUAUUGUAGUCAUAGUUUCUUUUGUAUUUUGAGAUGGUUGAAUCUUUUGUUUUGAGUUUGGUGUGAUAUUAAGAAUGGAUGUUUAUAACAUGUAUUUUGUUUCUUUUAUUGGAAAAAUUUAUGUUUCAAGCUGAUUGGAGUUGUACCUAAGAGUGAAUGUUCAGCUGUUCAAUGGUAAUGUUAUCUCUAAAGUUAAUGUAAUUGAGUGAGCCCUGGCGAGAAUCAGGC
rnacentral:lncRNA from 1 species